AAUCAACGCUGGCGGCGUGCCUCAGACAUGCAAGUCGAACGCGAAAUCCCGAGCAAUCGGGAAAGUAGAGUGGCGCACGGGUGAGUAACACGUAGGUAAUCUACCUUCGGGUGGGGAAUAACAACCGGAAACGGUUGCUAAUACCGCAUAAUGCAGCGGCACCUAAUGGUGACAGUUGUUAAAGCGGGGGAUCGCAAGACCUCGCGCCUGAAGAGGAGCCUGCGGCGGAUUAGCUAGUUGGCAGGGUAACGGCCUACCAAGGCGACGAUCCGUAGCCGGCCUGAGAGGGCGGUCGGCCACACUGACACUGACAUACGGGUCAGACUCCUACGGGAGGCAGCAGUCGGGAAUUUUGGGCAAUGGGCGAAAGCCUGACCCAGCAACGCCGCGUGAAGGAUGAAAUCCCUCGGGAUGUAAACUUCGCAAGAACGGGGAGAAUAAGUCUAAGCCAAUAACUUAGAUGAUGACGGUACCGUUUGUAAGCUCCGGCUAACUCCGUGCCAGCAGCCGAC
rnacentral:rRNA from 1 species